rnacentral:lncRNA from 1 species
GAGAGGUUUGAGCAAUUAGGAAACAACAGAGAGCUCAGAGUCCACAAAACAAACAAGUUAAGGGAUGUUUGGGAUAUUUGCACCUACGUGAGGGCACAUAUAGACACCCUCCAGGCUGGGUGGGCUGCAGGCCCUUGGGAAGCUGAAACAAAGGCUGCCAGUGGUGAUCAUGGGCUUCAUGUAUAGCAACUUUUCUGAGUAUAAAAUAAAGAGAAAGAAAUGAAUUCAUCUCUCACAGUGACGCUCCGGCCCAUCCCUCACAAUUCUUCCAUUCUGAAUGUAACUGUGAUCCAUGAUACCGCUCAGGAGCGGGGAGACUGGGAGCAACCAAGUUUGAACCACAGAAUGUUACCCGUCCCCAUUCACCAGAUGGCAUCUACCCGAUGGCCUGAGAGGACUUGGUUGUGACAGUCCAUGUGGAGACAGCACCUGCCCCUUCUGAGCUUUUCAGCCACAAAGGAAGCUGGCUGUAGAAGCCAGCAGCUAGGCGGGAAGACACUGAAUGAGCGUGAAGUUGACCAGUUGAAGUUAAGCCCUUUCACCUCCUAGCACAGAAGUUCUGUUCACUGGUCCCACCGGAAGUUCAGAUGAGCCUCUGACACAUUUAAAUAGAUACGCUGGUUUCCUGGGAUUUCAUUCAUUUCUUUCUUUUGUUUUUGUUUGUUUAUUGCUGUUUUGGUUUGGUUUGGUUUGGUUUGGCUUGAGAAUUUCUCUGUGUGAUUUUUGGGUGUCUUGGAAUUCCCAGAGAUCUGCCUGUUUCUGCCUUCUAGAAUUAAAGGCCCAUCCCCCCCACAC